rnacentral:lncRNA from 1 species
GUUCGAAUAUGGUCCGCUAUAGAAGGGGUAUUAACCGGCUUGUAAGAUUAGAGAAAACAAUGACACUGCACCUGUCCCCUCCAGGACUCCGGCCACGUCCCUCCUCUACGGCUGCAAGCUGCACGGGCUUCCCAGGAAAGAUGGAAUCAAGAGAGACUCUGCUCUCCAUCAUGAGUCAGAACUACUAGGAUUUUGGGUUGAGUCCUUCCUGCGUUGGAAUUGGCCAGUUCAUGUGGAUAAUGGCAAAUAAUUCAGCCUUUAUUAUGGGAGGGGAUUCUUACUGGAAACAUCUCAUUCCUGGAAUCAAGGAAUCUAAGUGGACAGCAGGCAUAUUCAUUGAGAAUCUGGGGCUGCACUACUGCCCUCAGAAAACAAUGGCCUUGCUUGUGCAAACUUGUGAACAUCAGUCUUCCUCACCCUCAGCCGUGUGGACCAGAAUCAGCAGAGAAUUAGAAGUUUAGAAUUAUUACUUGGAAGUGGCUAUCCAGCGGUGGACUACAUUUUGCAGUUCCCUUUGCAUCUACAUGGAAACGAAGGACGGU